UAACAUCAUUGAUGCCUUAACCCUAGAAC
rnacentral:piRNA from 1 species